rnacentral:tRNA from 1 species
ACCUGGGUGGCUCAGUCGGUAAAGUGUCUGACUUCGGCUCAGGUCAUGAUCUCGCAGUUUGUGGGUUCGAGCCCAGCAUCAGGUU